rnacentral:rRNA from 1 species
CCUACGGGUGGCAGCAGUAGGGAAUAUUGCUCAAUGGGGGAAACCCUGAAGCAGCAACGCCGCGUGGAGGAUGACGGUUUUCGGAUUGUAAACUCCUUUUGUUAGAGAAGAUAAUGACGGUAUCUAACGAAUAAGCACCGGCUAACUCCGUGCCAGCAGCCGCGGUAAUACGGCGGGUGCAAGCGUUACUCGGAAUCACUGGGCGUAAAGGGCGCGUAGGCGGGAUAGAAAGUCAGAUGUGAAAUCCUAUGGCUUAACCAUAGAACUGCAUUUGAAACUGUUAUUCUAGAGUAUGGGAGAGGUAGGUGGAAUUCGUGGUGUAGGGGUAAAAUCCGUAGAGAUCAAGAGGAAUACUCAUUGCGAAGGCGACCUGCUAGAACAUAACUGACGCUGAUGCGCGAAAGCGUGGGGAGCAAACAGGAUUAGAUACCCUGGUAGUC